rnacentral:rRNA from 1 species
GGAAUCUUGCACAAUGGGGGAAACCCUGAUGCAGCGACGCCGCGUGAGCGAUGAAGCCCUUUGGGGUGUAAAGCUCUUUCGACGGGAACGAUAAUGACGGUACCCGGGGAAGAAGCUGCGGCCAACUACGUGCCAGCAGCCGCGGUAAUACGUAGGCAGCAAGCGUUGUUCGGAGUUACUGGGCGUAAAGAGUGUGUAGGCGGUUCGCGAAGUUUGGUGUGAAAUCUCCCGGCGUAACUGGGAGGGUGCGCCGAAUACUGGUGGGCUAGAGUGUGGGAGAGGGAAGCGGAAUUCCUGGUGUAGCGGUGAAAUGCGUAGAUAUCAGGAGGAACACCGGUGGUGUAGACGGCUUCCUGGACCACAACUGACGCUGAGACACGAAAGCGUGGGGAGCAA